UCCAAUUAGGCGAUUCCCAAGCCUUUACCUAGGCAGUGGGGUCGGAGUGAAGCAACAUGGAUUCUAGGACUGCUCUACCAAACGCUGUGUCAUCUCUGGCGUGCUGGAUGAUGGCACAGUACGAAGCAAAAGUGUGUACCGAGGACCAAGUUGUGACUGCAGAUUUCCUGAAUCAGGGCCAGAAAUGCUGAUGACGAAGCCUGGGCCCUCGUGUCUGAGCAGUGAGAGGCGGGGUCGGUAACGGCCAGAUCAUAGCAAGCACAGAUGCAGGAUGUGAUCCAUGAAGAGAUCUGCUGAGAGGAGACCAGGAGGGCUUUCAUCUGGAUAGCCACCACAACGAAGAGCUGGGUCAUCUUCCUAAAUGGCUUCAUACCCUCAAUGUAGAAGGCAAGGGCCCUAUGAACAUCAAGGGAGUGCAGCUGCUGUUUCUGGCGACUGGCAUGCAGUUUUGGAUUAAAAAAACUGGAAGAAAAAUGUCCUGGCUGCUAUAACCUUGGGAAGAAAGGCUGAGUGAGGCCAAAGCUGCACCUUAUCUUUAUGGAAGAUCGUGUAAGGUGGUUCCGAAGUAAGGGCUCUCGGCUCGGAGACUCAUCGUGCCAAGGUGAUAGUGACCAGGAAAGCUGUUUUCCAGGAGAGGUAGAGAAGGGAGCAGGUGGCCAGCAGCUCGAACGGGGGUCCCAUAAGUCUGGAGAGGACAAGGUUAAGGUUCCAUGUGGGGACUGGCUGUCGAACUUGUGGGUAAAGAUGAUCCAAGCCCUUGAGGAACUUGCCAACAGAGGUGGGUGCCCCAUCCCAGGGCUGAUGCAUCUGUGACGAGGGACAAGGAUGACUGCGGGCUGUGAAAAGGAACUCCUUCGCAUACCGCCUGGGGAUCUAGCCACCAGUGGAGGGAGACCAGGACCCACUCCGGGAUGAUGACCAUCAAGUUCAGGUAUACCAAUCUCCAGGAGCCAGGGAAGGUAUAAUGGUGCCCAAGGAGACCAUGCAGAACUUCAAUUUUACCAUGAACUUGUUGAGUCCAUGCAGGUCCAGAAUUUGCCAAAGCCCACCUUUCGCCUUGGGGGAUUAGGAAAUAUCGGGAGUAACACCCCCUGCCCCUUAGCUCCCUAGGGACCUCCUCGAUUUUCCCCCAUGGCGAGGAGCAUUUGAACCUCCUGAAUAAGGAGUUGCUCACGAGAAGGGUCCCUAAAGAGGGAUGGGGAAGGGAGGUGGAAGGACGGGAAAGAAGAGCAUUGGGGAGAGUAUCCCAUUUCCACCAUGCAGAGGACCCAGCGGUCCGUGGUUAUCCGAGACCAAGCACAGUGGAAAUGGGAUAAAUGAUUCAAGAAAGGUGGAGUAGAACCCUGAAUGAGGUCCAGGAUGCCAUCCUCAGGCAUCCCUUCAAAAGGCCUGUUUUGAGCCAGACGAAGGCUUGGUCAGACCCUGGCCUUGUCCUGAUGGGGGGUUGGAGGGCUUCCUCCUGCCAUUAUGUCCCUACCACCUAUAGAAAUCCGGCCUCAGCCGAGGACGAUACGGGAGCUGUUGUAACUACUGAGGCUUGAAGGGUUUCCGCUGGGUAGCCGACAUGUGCAUGCCCAGGGACUUCAUUAUUGUCCUUGAGUCUUUAAGGCUUUGUAGCCUUGAAUCUGUCUUUUCCAAAAACAGGCCCUCUCUAUCAAAGGAGAAGUCCUGCAGUGUCUGCUGAAGUUCCGGUGGUAGGCCGGAGGCUUGCAGCCAGGAGAUACGCCUCAUUGUAAUCCCUGAGGACAAAGUAUGAGUGGCGGAGUCUGCAGCAUUCAGCAAGACCUGCAGUGAGGCCCGUGCCACUGUUUUGCCCUCUUCUGCCAAAGUCCCCAACUCCUCUCUGGACUCAGGAGGUACUAACUCCUUAAAUUUCAGCACAGAGUUCCAGGAGUUACAAUUGUAACAGAUCAGGAGCACCUGCUGAUUAGUGAUCCUGAGCUCAAAACCCUCUCCCCCGACCCCCCUGAGGAAUAAACUUUGCGCCCAAACAAAUCAAGGCACUUGGCGUCCUUCAAUUUGGGUGCUGGGGCUUGCUGGCCAUGCUGUUCUCUCGUUCAGUGAUGCCACUACAAGCGAACAGGGCUGUGGGUGGGUGAACAGAUAGUCAUACCCCUACGAGGGAACAAAGUAUUUUCGCUCCAUUCCCUUAGUCCGAUCCCAAAGAAAGAGAAACAGAACAUGAGGGCCAUGGUGGCGCCAAGCGGAUCUGCAUAAGGUCACGUCUACGUAGCGAUGGGUAACGGUGCCACGACGCUGGGGACCUGGACUGAUAUCGGGACCUGGACUGAUACCGGGACCUGGACCAGCGCCUGGAUUUGGAUCAUGGUCGAGAUUAUGACCAGUGGCGAGAGCUGUGUCAGGUCCAGGAUCUGCUCCUCAACUGCGAUCGGCAGGCAGACUGGCGCAGCGACCGGGACUUAGAGCAGUGCUGUAAGCAUGACUGGCACCACAAAGGAGAACGGUGCCAGGACUGCAGGCGGCAUCAGGAACGGUGCCGAGAAUGGGAUCGGUGCCGUGGCUCGACCGACAAUGCCAAUGGGUGAAUUAGGACUGGCCUGCCCUCAGUCAGUGCCGCACGUACAGGAACCGGUGCCUUGGCACGAGGCUGAGGGGAUGCUGAUGACAUCAUGACAAUAAGAUCCCUUGAGGCAGCAAAAGUAUCCGGGGUGGACGGCAACUGGACCUGAACCACGCUGCAUGUCAGGGAGUCCAGAGGCACCAGACUCAACAGCUCUACCCUUGGGUCCGGAGUCAACGGUGCUGAAGCCAUAGGCUGCGCCCCUAAAUGCUCCCCUGCGGGACACUUCUCCAUGGGCAGUUCCAAGGAGGCUGGUCUCUGAGGAGGCGAACCACCCUUUUCCGGCUUCCAGUGCUGCUUCUGGCCAGAAUGGGAGUGGUUCCAGGCUGAUGAAGUCGGUUGCAGUGCUGGAGAGCAUCAGUGCUGCAGGUCUCAUUCAGAGUCCAACCAUGGUGCAGCUUCUUCCGCUGCCGCCGGGAUGCCACGCACUGAGGUGCUCGGUGCUGGAUCUUGGCAUGCCGCAGGAGGCUGAGGACUAAGAGCCGCCUCCAUGAAGAGCUGUUUUAAACAAAAGUCCUGCUUCUUCAUAGUCCGGGGAUGAAACCCUUUGCAGAUCCUGCACUUGUCUGCUUGAUGAGACUCCCCUAGACACUUCAGGCAAGAGUCAUGGGGGUCGCCCUUUGGCAUGGGCUUAGAGCAGGAACCGCAGGGCUUGAAUUCUGGAGCCUUCGGCAUGAGCCCA